GCAGAAGGAUCAUUAGUGAAAGUUUCGGGCCUGCCAUACGGACGCAAACACGUCUCUGGCGCCCAUCACUAUAUCCAUACCAACCCCUGUGCACUGUGAUGACGAAUGUCAUCGAACAAAAAAAAACUCGUAUGGUUGAAUGUACGUGAAAUUGUAGGUAUGGCCUACGAACUAUACACAACUUUCGACAACGGAUCUCUUGGUUCUCCCA
rnacentral:misc_RNA from 1 species